rnacentral:rRNA from 1 species
UACAGGGGGUGCAAACGUUGCUCGGAAUUAUUGGGCGUAAAGCGCACGUAGGCGGUUUGUUAUGUCGGAUGUGAAGGCCCUUGGCUCAACUGAGGAAGUGCAUCCGAAACUGGCAAGCUAGAGUAUGUAAGAGGGUCGCGGAAUUCCCGGUGUAGAGGUGAAAUUCGUAGAUAUCGGGAGGAACACCGGUGGCGAAGGCGGCGACCUGGGACAAUACUGACGCUGAGGUGCGAAAGCGUGGGGAGCAAACAGG